AUGAGCAACAAGGAAAGUAAUGUCACCUACAGCAGCACACUCCGAGCCAGCAUAUGGACAACUAUAAGGGAAAAUCCCAAGGCAUCCAAGAUUGUAAUACUUGCACGGGCAUUCAAGGAGCUCGUAAACGCUUGUAGCCGGAGAGAUUACCACGGUGGCUCCUCCCUGAGACUUGGUUGAUGAGAAUUGGUGUUUUUGAUGGAUCUCAUCGUCAUCGAUCACGGAAUCGAUACUAUCUGUUUCCAUUAACACCAAAAUUUUCGAAAAUCAAAAAGUCCUAAUUUUAAAAAUUGGGACUUUUCUCUGUCGGGAAAAUAAAAAUUCUUUCUUUUCACGCAGAUCAAAAGAGCAAGAACGAGAGAGAAAAGGGAAGCUGGAAUUUCCCUCCUUUCUCUCUGUCUCUCUCUCACUGGGUUUCGCCAAAAUUGUGCUUUUCUU